rnacentral:sRNA from 1 species
GAAGAAGAGGUGGGAAGCAACAGAGAUUGCCCACAGCAGAAGCCGUAGGGGCCUGAGCUAAGCAGGGGCUUCUGGGAGAGAGAAGAGAAGCCGUUCUUGCCAACUGGCAUUUGUGGUCUCUGCUUUUCACACAGCUUGUCCCUGUGCAACCUUCAGAUUCCAUUUUCUCUGGGACACAUGACCUAAUCCUAGAUGGCAACAGGUCUUUCUCCUGUGCCCUGGCACAGAGCUGGGAGCUUCGGUUCCUAACUCCUCCCCAUUGUCAUUCCAGAUUCCUUUCUCAGGUUAUCUGAUCUACAUCUGAGUCCCUCAUUCCCACACAGGCUGUUGUGAGGGCCCCUCGCACUGCAUCUUCCCUGCUCAUGGCUCUAGCUGAUGUCUUUGCACAUAAUAGGACUCAGUCAAUAUUCCUUAGUUGCUACUUGGAAGCUCUAUGAAGAUUUAGAGAGCAUUGAUGUGAGUUUGGAGAGCCGGUGUAUCCCUUGUAGGCAAGAUAUAAAAUAACAUCAUGUGACAGUAAAAAAGAGAUAAGAGGCCCCAUAUGGUAAGCUCAAGGGCAGGGCAGAUGAUUCGUGUUAAGGAGAGAAUUUAUCAGCCGAGAUGUUUUUGUCAGAAGGUAGCAAACUCUGGAACCCACAUAAGCAUCAACAGCAAAGGAACUGAUUGUGUCAUAGCGGAGGGGCAGUGUUGAGGGAAGUGUUCAGUUCAGCAAUUCAAGGAGCACUUUCUAUGCCUUCUGCCAUCUUUUGCAACAGGUCCCAGACCUUAGCCCAGCUAACUCCAUGAUGGAAGGACUAUUCAGGCUGUAAAGACUCAGCAUGUAGACAGCACCACCUGCCAAAACUAAAACAAAGACCUACUCCAUCAAAGGCCAUGUACUUCUGGGAAAGUCUCUAAAUAUACUGUGUUGCUGUUAGGCUUCUGUAGUUCCCCUUCUGGCUAACUGUUCUUGUUAACUGAAGUAUGUCAAGCCAGAACGUGGUUUUCGUGCUUGAAAGUUCACCCUGAGAAAGGCAAAAGGCCACACUGAGAUCCUAAACACCCAGUGUUGUUGCCAACCAGAUAAUAAAGGCUUUCUAUUGGCUUAAACCAUGUCUGAGCAGCCUUCUCUGGAGCAAGCCUGGCUCUCCUUGCUCCAGCAGAGAACACAUCAAGAACGUAGCAGGAAGACAAGCCUUCCAAAAGCUACUGUUUGCCUCCAGCAAACUCUAGGAAAUGAAGGACUUAGAACUUGGACUUUGAUGGCAAAAGGCCUGGAUUCACACCCCUAUUCUGUCCUUUUGGGUCUUCUAUGGUGCUGUGUGCCUAGAAUGUGAUCAAGAACACCCUACCCUGUUUGGGAGUCUGCACAAACUUCAGAAGCCUGGGCAUGGAUACCAAAACUGGAGCAUGCAUUUUCAUUGUGACUGGAGUCUUGGAGGAACAUGGGGUUUUCCCUUACCUUCUCAGUUUCAAGAUUUUAACUCCUGUUAGCAUAAACUUUGACUGUGGGUGAAAUAGGAAGGUCACAUGGACUCCAAAAGAGGGUCCAUCUACGUGCCCUGUCAUCUAGAAAUGCCCAAGGAGAGCAAAGACGGACACUAGAGAAUGUUGUGGACCUCCUUAGUGGAGAAUUUCUCAGAAGUAUAAAAGGACUACAUAUAGUCCCCAGAAGCUACUCAUGUUAGGACCUAGAUAAAUAUUAAAGCCUAAAGAAAUGUUAAGGCCUAGGUGACUGUUACCCCGAUAUCCUGCCAUUGUAAGGAAAUUCCCUCAUAUGUUUCUACUGUUAUUAGGAAACUUCGAUGGACUACAUGUUCUGUUCUGUUCCGUGCCCUUGGAAACCAAUCACAAUAGAGGUCAGCUGAACUGUUUUGUGUAGUUACCCACACUAAGCUUGGACCCAAACCAACCACCCAACAGCACUUCCUGCACCUGCCCCUGGGAUGGACCCCAACAGAAGAGAGAACCUGCACCAAAAUAAGAAGCCAUGUGGAAUAAGACUUCCGUUUUGAGUGGUGGUCAAAUAAACUUUAAGUUCCCAAGACCUCCCUGGGAACGGACAUCCUACUUGGUGAAAAAAGACAUGCACAUGGUCAAGGACCAUGAAGAGGAAGCAGGAUUGCUUAUUGGCGGCUUUGUGCUUUGUGAACAAACCAUGGUAACACCAGGACCUGACUGUGACUCAGAACUCCAGUGGUCCACAUGAAAGACACCAAGACACCUGAGAAAAGAACAGAAACUAACCAGGAGCCUCCAGGAGCCACUGCUCUGCCCUGUCAUGCCAGGUGGGGCUGCUAACAGCUCCACCCCAGUCUUAGAACCUGAGAGGGAGGCUUGCCCUACUGGGCGGGCCUUGGAGAAAAUAAAACCAAUCCUCUAGCCCUUCAA